AAGUCGUAACAAGGUCUCCGUAGGUGAACCUGCGGAGGGAUCAUUAACACUGAGAUAGAGAUGCGAAGCCUUCAACAGCUGAGCUACCCUCUUAUCACACCAAUCUACGUGAACGUAACCUAUGUGGAUUGUGGCUGUUGCUGCUCUAUGUAGCGCAGUUAUGAUCUUAUUUAUGUUUUUUUUUACUAAACCUUUUCCAACUACAGUUAUGAUUGAUAUCUCUUUUUCUGAUUUCGUCACUUCUUUGAUUUGACGAGUUGAGAAAGUAACUAUCAAUAAUAUAAAAGCACAACUCUUAGCAACGGAUAUCUUGGUUCUCGUAACGAUGAAAAACGCAGC
rnacentral:misc_RNA from 1 species